UGCAUUCACUACUGUAAGUCGCUCUGGAUAAGAGCGUCUGCUAAAUGAUUAAAU
rfam:Salmo salar isolate Sally breed double haploid chromosome ssa12, whole genome shotgun sequence.